CUUGCCUACGGGACGCAGCAGUGAGGAAUAUUGGUCAAUGGACGAGAGUCUGAACCAGCCAAGUAGCGUGAAGGAUGACUGCCCUAUGGGUUGUAAACUUCUUUUAUAUGGGAAUAAAAUGUUCCACGUGUGGGAUUUUGUAUGUACCAUAUGAAUAAGGAUCGGCUAACUCCGUGCCAGCAGCCGCGGUAAUACAGAGGAUCUGCGCGUUAUCCGGAUUUAUUGGGUUUAAAGGGAGCGUAGGUGGAUUGUUAAGUCAGUUGUGAAAGUUUGCUGCUCAACCGUAAAAUUGCAGUUGAAACUGG
rnacentral:rRNA from 1 species